AAGUCGUAACAAGGUUUCCGUAGGUGAACCUGCGGGAGGAUCAUUAUUGAAAUAAACUGACAGGUUGUUGCUGGUUCUCUAGGGAACAUUGUGCACGCCUUGUCAUCUUUAUAUCUCCACCUGUGCACCUUUUGUAGACCUGGAUAUCUCUCCGAGUGCUUGCGCUCAGGUUUGAGGAUUGAUUCUUUCGUCUCUCCUUACAUUUCCAGGCCUAUGUUUCUUCAUAUACCCUAAUGUAUGUUAUAGAAUGUAAUAAAUCGGCCUUUUGUGCCUAUAAACAUAUACAA
rnacentral:misc_RNA from 1 species